rnacentral:rRNA from 1 species
UACGUAGGGUGCGAGCGUUGUCCGGAAUUAUUGGGCGUAAAGGGCUCGUAGGCGGUUUGUCACGUCGGGAGUGAAAACUCAGGGCUUAACCCUGAGCCUGCUUCCGAUACGGGCAGACUAGAGUGCGGUAGGGGAGAUUGGAAUUCCGUGGUGUAGCGGUGGAAUGCGCAGAUAUCAGGAGGAACACCGGAUGGCGAAGGCCAGAUCUCUGGGCCGUAACUGACGCUGAGGAGGCGAAAGCGUGGGGAGCGAACAGG